rnacentral:rRNA from 1 species
UACAGAGGGUGCGAGCGUUAAUCGGAAUUACUGGGCGUAAAGCGCACGUAGGUGGUUUUGUAAGCCGGAUGUGAAAUCCCCGGGCUCAACCCGGGAACUGCAUUCGAGACUGCAUUACUCGAGUAUGGGAGAGGGAAGCGGAAUUUCCGGUGUAGCGGUGAAAUGCGUAGAUAUCGGAAGGAACAUCAGUGGCGAAAGCGGCUUCCUGGCCCAAUACUGACGCUGAGGCGCGAAAGCUAGGGGAGCAAACAGG